GACGAACGCUGGCGGCGUGCUUAACACAUGCAAGUCGAGCGAACAGACGCGGCGUUUGCUGGGCGCACGUGAGGCGAGCAGGUGAGAGACACAUGUGUAACCUCCCCCUAUCAGACUGAUAUAUUCUGGAGACAGCGGCGCUAACACCGUAGGAGCUACUGCAGCAUGUGGGUGGUUGGUAAGAUUCGGCGGUUGGGGAUGGUCUCGCGGCAUAUGAGCUUGUUGGUGGGGUUGUGACUUACCAAGGCUUUGACGGGUAGGCGGCCUGAGAGGGUGACCGGCCACAUUGGGACUGAGAUACGGCCCAGACUCCUACGGGAGGCAGCAGUGGGGAAUAUUGCACAAGGGGCGGAAGCCUGAUGCAGCAACGCCGCGUGCGGGAUGACGGCCUUCGGGUUGUAAACCGCUUUCGCCUGUGACGAAGCGUGAGUGACGGUAAUGGGUAAAGAAGCACCGGCUAACUACGUG
rnacentral:rRNA from 1 species